GAGAGUAUAGCUCAGUGGUAGAAUGUGUGCCUAGCAUGCAUGAGGUCCUGGAUUUGAUCUCCAGUACUUCUG
rnacentral:tRNA from 1 species